UAACUUAGUGGCGAACGGGUGAGUAACGCGUGAAUAACCUGACUCAAAGAGGGGGAUAACAACGGGAAACUGUUGCUAAUACCGCAUGAGACCACAACACCGCAUGAUGAAGGGGUCAAAGAUUUAUCGCUUUGAGAGGGGUUCGCGUCCCAUUAGGUAGUUGGAGGGGUAACGGCCCACCAAGCCAACGAUGGGUAGCCGAGCUGAGAGGCUGAUCGGCCACACUGGAACUGAGACACGGUCCAGACUCC
rnacentral:rRNA from 1 species